UCUCAUGGAUGAGUAAAGGAAGUGGUUUCUUCUGAUGGAAUCUAUUCCUGGUGAAAAUGCUGUGAA
rnacentral:pre_miRNA from 1 species